CUGACACGUGACAAUCUACCUUGAAUACCAGAAUCUUGUUACGAAAAUUACAUGCCAUGGAAUAGAAGUUACUAAAUAAAUAAGAUUGAUCAUGCCGAAUUUCCAUGGUGCUGCAUCCAUGUAAAUUAGGUCGUCACAAAGGUUAUCCAACAUAAUUUUUCCCAUUUCAUUUCUUCCAUCUAAAGUAGAAACCGAAUGGGAUGGCCACCCCAGCAACCCGACACCCAAAGACAAAGACGAAAGCAUUCUAACAGUAGAAACGGCCACUUUUUAAAAAGGAACUUCCCCGCUCCCUAACAAAAGCAACAAAACAAGUUAUAACAUAAACAUCACAUGCAGAAAAAGAAAAGAUCAUGACACGAUUAAGGAUUUAUAAACCAUCAAUUAUUCAAAAAAAAUUGUCCACCAUACCACAUGCAAGAAGCACUCGCAAUAUUUUUCAAUGAGAUCUAAUGCAAUAAUUCUUACCAACAAUUAACUUAGACUUUUCCCAGAGUUGCAUUGCUCAUGUCCUUGCCCAUGUCCUUGCCGGCUAACCUGUGGCAGUCGAAGAGCAAAGUCAAAGAGGGAAGCAAUGGAAUUUAAAGUAAACCCAUAAAUAAUGCUUUGUAUAUACGGAGCAUCUAAGGGCAUCCGGUGGCUGGGCUUGCCAGAUUUGGGCGAGCUCGCCUAGCCAAGGCGAGGUCGGUGACCGGCCAAAAGAAGAAAUAAAGAAAAAAAGGAAAAUUAAAAAUAAACAAAAAAAGAACACAAAUUUACUAAAAAUAUUUAUAUUCUUUUUUUAUUCCCGGAACAAAUUUACCAAACGCGUUUUUCUGGUCAAAAAUUGUUCCCCGGAAUAAAAAUAGUUUUUUCUAUUUUUGUUCCCUAUAACACUUUUUGAACAUAAACACAAACAAACGCACCCUAAGAAACUAUAAUUUAAGAUCGCCACUUAAGGUAAUAUGGAUCCAAGUCAAAUAUGGUAAUCAUCUAUGAAGAUUCACAAUGUCCAUAAAAAUGAAGAGGAACAGAGAAGAAGUUGGGGGAUGCCUCAAGUAGGAAAGGAAAGAAGAGAAGGCAUCUUGACAAACGACACACGCAUAAGGAAUCUAAACUUACUGCAUUAUUUAAAAAUUAAGAGGAACAGAGAAGAAGUUGGGGGAUGCCUCAAGUAGGAAAGGAAAGAAGAGAAGGCAUCUUGACAAACGACACAUGCAUAAGGAAUCUAAACUUACUGCAUUAUUUAAAAAUUAAGAGGAACAUAAGAGAAGAAGUUGGGGGAUGCCUCUAGUUAUGGUGGACUUAUCUUUUGUGUGCCGGUCUUUGUGCAUGAAUCAGCCUAAAUUUUUUUAUUAGAGAUAAUCAUUUGACCUCAAAAUAUUUCCAACUACUCCCUUUGAAAAUAUCAAAAUGUUUGGGCAAUCGUGUCCAAUCCAGAAAAAAAUAUUCUUAUUUUCAUGGCAACUUUUUAAGUUGGAAAUAAAAAGAUUGUUACUUAUGGGACUAUAAAAAGAUUGUAUUAUUCCUAUUAAUGAAAUCUAUGGUAUGCAUGGGACUUUGAAAAUUCUAUGAUAUACAACUUUCUCAUGACUUAAUAGUUAAUCCUCUCCAUCAAAAUGAGCAACUCUCUAGCUCCUCAUGAGUGCGGUCUCAAGCAUAUUAGCGGGGAAUUAGUUCAAACAACAAAAAAGUACAAGAAACUCAAAACUGUAAUGCUUUAAAGGUAGAAGUCACUCUCCGUCCAAAACAAUUGACAAAUUCAAUGUCAGGAAAAUUUCAAUUCGGUAAAUUUAAAACUUGAAAAUUACCAAUUAUAUAUUUCAGAACAUAUCUAAUAUGCAACUAAUAUGGUGGUGAAUAUAUUACCAUCAUCCUAUUUCAUCAUUUACCGGCCAACACCUGUCAACAACAGGCAAUUAUGGUUGUCGAAUAACAUUGUAUCUUAAAUAUUAUCUACAAAAAGUGGAGAAUUUUGGAUGUCACAAUUGGCGGCCGGUAGUAAUGAUGCGAAAAAAUGUUCUUUGUGGAAUAUUUACUUUUGCCAAUUUAUGUUGAAUAUGUUAGGAAAUCCGUUUUGAAUACAAUUGAGUAGACUAUGCAAGAUAUUAUCAAAGAAAGAAUCAAGAGAGAGGAGACUAAAUGAAUAUAUUGAGACUUACUUAGAGAUUGUAAAGUCUCUUCCAUGUGAGGAGAUGGAACACCCUUAGAGGAGACUACUGCACAUUUGUAACCAUUUGGGUAACCAUUCUCCUCCCAGGAAUCAUUUCUCAUGGUAACUAUCUAAAAUUUUUAUUCCCAUAAUAGAAUAGAAUUAUGUUUGAUAGUGUCUUGAAAAUUUCUAAUCCAAAUCUUUUUCUUUUAAUUUUUUAAUAAUUUUAUUACUUUUCUUCUUUUCUUUCUCUUCUUCUCCCAGGUGCGAAGCCUUGGAAUGCUCGGACCCUUGGCGAGGCCACACCCAGGCUGGGCCAAGCCUUGGCUAGGUGAGCUGCCCUAUUGGGCUCAACCUCGCUAGAUCUAGCCUAGGUCUAGGCCAUGGCUAUGCUGAGGCUCACCGCCUAUGGUGGUGGGCUUGUCGAAUUGAGUAAGAGUGGUGGCAGUGGCGUUGAAGAAGAAGAAUAAGAAGAAAGAAGAGAGAGAAAAAAUAAAGAUAAGUUGGCCCGAUUCUUAUUUUAGAGACAAAUUAUGUUUCAAAUCUACUUCCCCAACAAAAAAAAAAUAGAAAUUUGUUUACAAAAACAAAAAUUUUGCCAAAGGAAUUUCUCUCCAAAAGAAUAUAAAUUUUCACUAAUUUAACCCGGCCUAAAUGAAUAUAUUAUACACGGUAUAGAACUAGACACGAGUGGAUGGAUGUGUGAUGGUACAGAAUGAAUGUCUUGUCAGUGUGAGUGCUACUUAGCUUAGAUUACCUUAGCAUGCUUCACCGAAAAAGGACUAAACCUCAUCUAGGUAUAUUAUAUAAGUAGAUUACCUUGGCAUAUUUUAAGCGGAUAAAGAUGGAUUACAUAAUAAGUUUAAAAUAGGAAAGAGAAUCAAAGAUUACCUAAGCGUUUUGAUGUUUAUCAUACUUAAUUUAAAUUUUGGAUUUGCUGUUAAGCCCUUUUGAUUCAAAUUCCUGCCCGGCAUUUGGCAUUUGAAGUAGGAGGCCAUUCUAAGUUGGAAGCAAACCUAACAAGAAGUUGGAUUUCCUCAUACGAAUAAGACGUGUAGCCCAAUAAACCAUUUUACAGGCCUGCCAUCAAUGAAAGAGCUUAAUUUUCUUGGAAUAUUGGUGAAAUUGCACGCUUAGCUUCACACCCAAUGAGCUCAAGAGGCGCCAGGAUGGAUCUGAUCCACCCACCAUGCCGCAACAGGCCCCCACCACUACACAGGCGCUACUACACACCGUCCUGCAUUCCUCAUUAUGGGUACCUUGCCCCUCCAUAAUUUUAAACUUCAACCAGAAUCCUCCCAUAAUUUCUACCUUCCUAAUCUUUUCCCAUCUCAUUCAAUCAGUUCCGCAGCAGCACACGCAUCCACUCCAGGAACACCACCUCCCACGUCCAGAUUAGAAAACAAGUACUACCAACCGAAUUAUAAGAAUAUAUCCACCACCUACUCCCGACUCACAGGUGACAAUCUACCUUGAAUACCAGAAUCUUGUUACCAAAAUUACAUGCCACCGGAUAGAAGUCACUAAAUAAAUAAGAUUGAUCAUGCCGAAUGUCCAUGGUGCUGCAUCCAUGUAAAUUAGGUCGUCACAAAGGUUAUCCAACAGAAUUUUUCCCAUUUCAUUUCUUCCAUCUAAAGUAGAAACCGGAUGGGAUGGCCACCCCAGCAACCCGACACCCAAAGACAAAGACGAAAGCAUUCUAACAGUAGAAACGGCCACUUUUUAAAAAGGAACUUCCCC
rnacentral:lncRNA from 1 species